AAUGUUGCUCCUCAUGAUCUUCAUCCUGCAGAAUCAAGCGAAUCUGAAUCAAGUAAUGAGUCUCAACAUUCUCUCUCACCAGCUGGGUCUCCACUUCCUCAAGUUCCUGAACCUGUUGAAGACCAAGAAAACGAUCAUGGAAUGGUCACAAGAGCUAAAGCUGGAAUCAGAAAACCUAAUCCUCGUUAUGCUUUACUUGCGGUGAAAGGCAUACCUGAGCUACCUAGAACACUCAAGGAGGCUCUGAAUCACCCUGGAUGGAAUGGAGCAAUGACUGAAGAGAUAACCAACUGUGAUGAGACUAAAACUUGGUCGUUGGUAUCACCCCCGGAAGGUGUCAAUCUUCUUGGUUGUAAAUGGGUUCACAGAGUUAAAUUAAACGCAGAUGGAACAUUCUCAAAGUUUAGAUCAAGAGUGGUUGCAAGAGGAGAUGAGCAAGAGGAAGGAGUUGAUUUUCUUGAAACCUACAGCCCUGUUGUUCGUACGGCUACUGUUCGAAUGAUACUUCAUAUUGCAGUGGUUGAAAGAUGGGACAUUAAGCAACUAGAUGUCAAAAAUGCUUUCUUGCAUGGUGAUCUCAGUGAAGCGGUUUAUAUGCGACAACCUCCUGGAUUUGAAGAUAAGGAGAAUCCUCAGUAUGUAUGCAAGCUCCACAAGGCGAUCUACGGCCUAAAACAAGCCCCAAGGGCGUGGUUUGACAAGUUCAGUUCGUUUUUGAUUGAGUUUGGUUUUCUCUGCAACAGUAGUGAUGCUUCUCUGUUUGUGUAUCAGAAAAAUAAAAGCAUUAUCUUCCUUCUUCUCUACGUUGAUGACAUGUUGAUCACAGGAAAUGAUCAACUUCUCAUUCAACAACUGCUGAAGAGUCUCAGCAAGCAGUUUCGGAUGAAAGAUAUGGGACCUCUCAGUUACUUUCUUGGCAUACAAGCUCAGUUUACUCCAACUGGUUUGUUCUUAAAUCAACAAAGGUAUGCAACGGAUCUUCUACAAGCUGCAGGUAUGUCGGAUUGUGCUCCAAUGCCUACUCCUCUUCCUCUACAACUAGACAGAGUGCCUCAUCAAGAUGAAGACUUCUCAAAUCCAACAUAUUUCAGAAGUUUAGCCGGUAAAUUGCAAUAUCUCACACUUACGAGACCGGAUAUUCAAUUUGCGGUCAAUCUUGUUUGUCAGAAGAUGCAUAAGCCUACUGCAGCUGACUUUCAUCUCUUGAAGAGGGUUCUGAGAUAUGUUAAAGGAACACUGGAGAUGGGAUUAACUCUUGAGUCUGAUACAAAUUCUCAAGUUCGAGCUUAUUGUGAUAGUGAUUGGGCUGGUUGUAAUGCCACAAGGAGAUCAACUGGAGGUUUCUGCACAUUUAUGGGAUCAAAUUUGAUUUCAUGGUCAGCAAAAAGGCAAGAUUCGGUUUCAAGAUCAUCAACUGAGGCAGAGUACAGAACACUAUCUGAUACUGCAGCUGAGCUUGAAUGGAUAAGUCUGAUGAUGAAGAGUAUCAAUCUACCUCAUCCAGAGCCAGCUGAAGUUUAUUGUGAUAAUCUCUCUGCAGUGCACUUAACAGCAAAUCCGGUUCUGCAUAGAAAAUCGAAACAUUUCGCCACACACUAUCACUUUGCGCGCGAGAAAGUAGCAAAUGGAACUCUGCUUGUCAAACACAUACCGGCAGCUCAGCAAAUUGCAGAUAUCUUCACCAAAUCAUUGUCACAACACAGCUUCUUCUCUUUGCGUUUCAAACUCGGAGUUGACUUUCCACCCACCUCGAGUUUGCGCGGGGAUAUUAAGCCCAGAGAUGAAAUUCAAACGCAGGCCCACUUCAAUGGUUCAAGUCAGCAAAAGCCCAAGACAAGGCAAACAGAAGCAACGGUCAAGAAUAAAGGAAGAGGAGACAAGAGUACGGUUUCACCAGCUCAGCUGCAGCUAAGCAACAGGUUUGGAGUGCUAG
rnacentral:lncRNA from 1 species